UCUCUACAAGUCCUCAAUACAAAGAGUAGGGAGGGCUGAAGGGCCAAUAGAAACAGUGAAGAUGGGUGAAUGUAUACAAACCAAAAACUUCUCACGCCAUCAUCCUUGAUCCAUUUCUUUCUUCUGCAUACCUCUCCCAGCCAAACUUUGGAGGUGACAUGGCCUCCAAGUCUGGCAGAAUGUACAGUGACAUAUCAUCUCCAUCUAUAAAUCCUUGUGCUCUCUCUCCACUUUCGUCUUAUGCUUAACGGUGUAUAUAAAUGGCACACAGGGUUGAAGCCAGGCAAACCAAUCCGGAAAAAUAGAUCAAAUAUUAAUUGUUGCUUUUUUGUAAUGGGCAGCUCCUUGCUUUGGGAAUGGUUUCCCAUAUCAGAGAAACUUAACCGGCAAAAACUACUAAAUAUUUUCUGUUAACCAUUUUAAGCCAAUCAUGUAUGAGUCCAAAAUUAUUUGGAUUAGUUUAGUCAGAACUGUUACACUUUUAGCUAGAUAUUUCUAGUACAGGCAAAUCUGCUGUGACGAUAAUUACUUGGCGUCUAAGUUCUGCAGAUUCUGGUUUGCCCUUGGUUCAUUAAUUUGCUGUAAAUUCUGCAGAAUGGUUCUCUAUGCAAUGCAUCGGAUACUUGCUACUUUAUUUUCAUUC